rnacentral:tRNA from 1 species
UAACAUGGCAGAAUAAAUGCAACUGUUCUAAGAUCAGUCCAUAAUCUCUCAGGGAUUUGUUAACA